UCUUUAACUAAUGUAAUGUAAGCAAAUGGGAAAUGUGUCUCUAUAUCAUUAUGCUGAAAUCUAUCUCGUUGUUACAGGCUUUCAGAAGCUGCUGGAUCCUCUUCACUCUGACUUGCUGAUAGUUUUAUCUUGCAGCAUUAUUCUGAACGUUGCUUUCAUUUGUAUAAGAUGUAAACUGCCCUGUACACACUGUGCAGAUGAAAAGAACAGUGAUAUAUCAAAAGUGGAAUGGUCACGCAAGCAAUGCCAUGACGAGGACACACUGAAUUACGCUGCCCUGAACCUUAAGAAGCCAAAACCCAGGAGACAGAAGAAAGAUGGGAAUAAUGACACUCUGUAUUCUGACCUCCGGUACAGAGAUUAUGAAUAAAGAUGCUUCUCAUUCAUGUCAGUCACACAGAGGGUUCAGGGUGUAGCUUUAAUAAUGUUCAGAAGGAGGGCAGGGGAGCCAGUGCUUCUGAGACUGAAUCACGGGAUUUUACGGAGCCCGAUCCUCGUGUGUGCCACGCCCCCCUGAUUAUCCACAUGUGCUUCCCUGAUUGUACCCAGCUGUACUCUGUUGUCUUGUCUAUUUCAGUCCCAGUCUUGCCUCAGUUCAUUGUCCGUCAUUGAUGCUAGUGAGUCUUCGAGCCGCUGUUCUGUCCUGUCCGUCCCGUUCGUUAAUAAAUCCCCAGUUUUCCCCGA